rnacentral:ncRNA from 2 species
ACCUAGGGUAGAGGUGCUGUAAUUAUAAGUAUUUUGUUUUUAGCCGGCAGGCGUCUUAGAAACAAAGAAAGGAAUAUCAGCCGAAGAAGUCAUUUUGGCGAAGAUGGUUUCUGGUUUUAUAUAGAACAUGUAUAAAACUGUCACUAAAGUAUAGUGGAGAGCUACAAGGUAC